rnacentral:sRNA from 1 species
GGAGUCGUGGGGGCGCGGUCCUGGUCCCCACCCGGCGCGCGGGGACUCGCCCGCCUGCUGUCUGUCACCCCUGCGCCUCGCCGGGACAACGGGGUGAGGGCAUGGGGGCGUGGGGCCCCAGCCCAGGUUCCCCGCGCACUGGCGCGGCGGCCGCGCCGAGCAAAGUCCGGGACGGGGGAGGGGCCCGAGCGCCAGCGGCCGGGCGGGGGUCUCAGGAGCGGGUUCCCGGUCCCUGCAGGCGGCCUGGCGGGUGGCAUCGAGAUCUGCAUCACCUUCCCCACCGAGUAUGUGAAGACGCAGCUGCAGCUGGACGAGCGCUCGCACCCGCCCCGGUACCGGGGCAUCGGGGACUGCGUGCGGCAGACGGUCCGUAACCAUGGCGUCCUGGGCCUGUACCGCGGCCUUAGCUCCCUGCUCUACGGCUCCAUCCCCAAGGCGGCCGUCAGGUGAGGCCCGGCCCGGGGCUGCUGCGGGAGGGGGGCUCGGCCGCGGCAGCCCCUCUCAUCCGCCUCCCGCCUCCAGGUUUGGAAUGUUCGAGUUCCUCAGCAACCACAUGCGGGAUGCCCAGGGACGGCUGGACAGCACGCGUGGGCUGCUGUGCGGCCUGGGCGCCGGCGUGGCCGAGGCCGUGGUGGUCGUGUGCCCCAUGGAGACCAUCAAGGUGAAGUUCAUUCACGACCAGACCUCUCCACACCCCAAGUACAAAGGAUUCUUCCACGGGGUUAGGGAGAUUGUGCGGGAACAAGGGCUGAAGGGGACGUACCAGGGCCUCACAGCCACCGUCCUGAAGCAGGGCUCGAACCAGGCCAUCCGCUUCUUUGUCAUGACCUCCCUGCGCAACUGGUACCGAGGGGACAACCCCAACAAGCCCAUGAACC